CCCUUAGAUGUUCUGGGCUGCACGCGCGCUACACUGAUGCGUUCAACGAGUUUAUGACCUUGCCCGAUAGGGUUGGGUAAUCUUUUUAAAUCGCAUCGUGAUGGGGAUAGAUUAUUGCAAUUAUUAAUCUUCAACGAGGAAUUCCUAGUAAGCGCGAGUCAUCAGCUCGUGCUGAUUACGUCCCUGCCCUUUGUACACACCGCCCGUCGCACCUACCGAUUGAAUGGUCCGGUGAAAUCUCGGGACGGCGGCUCGGUCGCUUGCGUCCGACUGCUGAAACUUGAUUAAACCAUAUCAUUUAGAGGAAGGUGAAGUCGUAACA
rnacentral:rRNA from 1 species